rnacentral:rRNA from 1 species
GCCUACGGGAGGCAGCAGUGAGGAAUAUUGGACAAUGGGCGCAAGCCUGAUCCAGCCAUGCCGCGUGCAGGAAGAAGCAUCUAUGGUGUGUAAACUGCUUUUGUACAGGAAGAAACAUCCCGACGUGUCGGGACUUGACGGUACUGUAAGAAUAAGGAUCGGCUAACUCCGUGCCAGCAGCCGCGGUAAUACGGAGGAUCCAAGCGUUAUCCGGAAUCAUUGGGUUUAAAGGGUCCGUAGGCGGUUUGGUAAGUCAGUGGUGAAAGCCCGCAGCUCAACUGUGGAACGGCCAUUGAUACUGCCAGACUUGAAUUACAAGGAAGUAACUAGAAUAUGUAGUGUAGCGGUGAAAUGCUUAGAUAUUACAUGGAAUACCAAUUGCGAAGGCAGGUUACUACUUGUGGAUUGACGCUGAUGGACGAAAGCGUGGGGAGCGAACAGGAUUAGAUACCCGGGUAGUCCA